CCACGUUUAGUCAUGACAGGACCAUCUUUCUUCAUACACCUGUUUUUUUUCAGUAAAUGGCCUUCAUCAGCUGUACGUUGUUGGUCUCAGCAGAAGAUGGUCUCAGACAAACGUGGUUGGACAACAUGGCUGAGCGGUGGAGUUACUGUAUGGAGAGCAGUGGGCCAGGCCCUCACCAGCACCAGCACCAGCACCAGCACCAGCACCAGCACCGGUCGGGCAGGAUCCUGCAGGAGUGGGUUGAGCGUUGGAUUAGUUGAGAUGCUGCUCAUCAGCAACCUGGAGACAGGGCGAGAGAGCAGACAGAGGUCCGGAUGGUGCAGGUUCACACGUUUCUCCGGCUUUGCUGCAAAGCUGCCUCCGGAGGAGGAAGCAGCGCUGCCAAGGUGACUGUCAGCUCCCAGUCACUGCACUGUGGGCUCUGAACUCGCUCUUGCUCGGGAGCGCUGGGCUUCCGACGCCCCUAAAGUGUUUUCAUGUUCCUUCAAGUCGCUGACGCACCUCUUUCUGCGCGUAGUAAACAAAAGCAUGAGCCCGUUUGAAUGCGCUACCUGGAGCUGCUCAGCCCACGCUACGCUGAGAUAAAAAGUAUUGAUUGUAAUCCACAGUGUUGAAUAGAAAAACACAGAUUAAUGAGCUCCCUGCAGUUUGUCUACGGUCCAGACAGAAAGUUAAUGUACCUGAAGAGGGUAAACUCUUAACCUGCAGUUUGAGGACUAUGGAAAAAUCAUUGCCAACACUUUGCAAACAACAGACUUUCUAUCAAAUCUUGAUUACAUCUGACAGAACCUCGUCUUUCUGUCACACCGCUGCUGGAAACGGCUUCAUUAUGCAGAUUUUCUUGUGAUAAGACAAAGCAGGUUUGACGAUAUCAAAUAAUGACUGUCUCCAUCGUCUUAAAGGAUGUGAUGCAUCUGUAAGGUCUGUGUGUGACGUGUUAACGUGUUAGCUUCAUAGUUACAUACCACUCUGUUAAACAAAUAACUCACUAUAGUGAUUUUUUGGGGGGGAGGCUUAGUGUUUCUGAAAAGAAGGAGCAAACGAAUCACCAGAUAAAAUUGGUAAAAGCACAGUGAUGCAUUGUGUACAAUAGGAGCAUCUCGACCCUCCUCCUUGUUCCUUUAUCAUACACCCACUUCUUGAGUUACAAACACUUUGAAACAUGCGGUGUGCUCGAACUUAGCAGCACUGAAGCAGGCUGCGAUACUGUGCAGACUCUAAGAUUUUGGACAGUGAUGAAUUUUCUAUUGAUUUAGCUUUGUACUCAAGAACAAUUGGAUUUUAGGUUAAACAAUGACAAAGGUUAAACUGCUGAAUUUCACUUUAACUUUGAGGUAAUUCAAACAAAUGUUUAGGCACGAAAGCUGAGAAAUAGUUUUAAAU
rnacentral:lncRNA from 1 species